rnacentral:rRNA from 1 species
GACGAACGCUGGCGGCGUGCUUAACACAUGCGAGUCGAGCGGUAAGGCCCUUUCGGGGGUACACGAGCGGCGAACGGGUGAGUAACACGUGGGUGACCUGCCCUCAGCUCUGGGAUAAGCCUGGGAAACCGGGUCUAAUACCGGAUAUGACUCCAUGACGCAUGUUGUGGGGUGGAAAGCCUUGUGCGGCUGAGGAUGGGCCCGCGGCCUAUCAGCUUGUUGGUGGGGUGAUGGCCUACCAAGGCGACGACGGGUAGCCGGCCUGAGAGGGCGACCGGCCACACUGGGACUGAGACACGGCCCAGACUCCUACGGGAGGCAGCAGUGGGGAAUCUUGCGCAAUGGGCGAAAGCCUGACGCAGCGACGCCGCGUGAGGGAUGACGGCCUGGUUGUAA